rnacentral:rRNA from 1 species
AUGGCUACAGAAGCGGGAACCGUCCGGCCAGUCGCGGUCGCCGGCGACGUGGGGGUGCCGGUGCUCCUGGCCACGGACAAGGACCGGCCGGUGGACCCGGUGAUCUGGGGCGACGAGCAGCGGAUGAAGAGGGAGCUCAUGGCGUGGGCCAAGGCCGUCGCGUCCAUGGCGCUCAAGGUCUCGUCGGCCCCGCCGCCUUCCAUGGCACACGCGACCAGGUGUACGGCUUAG